rnacentral:rRNA from 1 species
UCGUAACAAGGUCUCCGUAGGUGAACCUGCGGAGGGAUCAUUACACAAAUAUGAAGGCGGGCUGGAACCUCUCGGGGUUACAGCCUUGCUGAAUUAUUCACCCUUGUCUUUUGCGUACUUCUUGUUUCCUUGGUGGGUUCGCCCACCACUAGGACAAACAUAAACCUUUUGUAAUUGCAAUCAGCGUCAGUAACAAAUUAAUAAUUACAACUUUCAACAACGGAUCUCUUGGUUCUGGCAUCGAUGAAGAACGCAGCGAAAUGCGAUAAGUAGUGUGAAUUGCAGAAUUCAGUGAAUCAUCGAAUCUUUGAACGCACAUUGCGCCCUUUGGUAUUCCAAAGGGCAUGCCUGUUCGAGCGUCAUUUGUACCCUCAAGCUUUGCUUGGUGUUGGGCGUCUUGUCUCUAGCUUUGCUGGAGACUCGCCUUAAAGUAAUUGGCAGCCGGCCUACUGGUUUCGGAGCGCAGCACAAGUCGCACUCUCUAUCAGCAAAGGUCUAGCAUCCAUUAAGCCUUUUUUUCAACUUUUGACCUCGGAUCAGGUAGGGACACCCGCUGAACUUAAGCAUAUC